AGGACGAACGCUGGCGGCGUGCUUAACACAUGCAAGUCGAGCGGAAAGGCCCUUCGGGGUACUCGAGCGGCGAACGGGUGAGUAACACGUGAGUAAUCUGCCCCUAGCUCUGGGAUAGCUCCGGGAAAACCGGGAUUAAUACCGGAUACGACCACUUUAGACAUCUGUUGUGGUGGAAAGAAUUUUGGCUAGGGAUGAGCUCGCGGCCUAUCAGCUUGUUGGUGGGGUAAUGGCCUACCAAGGCGACGACGGGUAGCCGGCCUGAGAGGGCGACCGGCCACACUGGGACUGAGACACGGCCCAGACUCCUACGGGAGGCAGCAGUGGGGAAUAUUGCGCAAUGGGCGAAAGCCUGACGCAGCGACGCCGCGUGGGGGAUGAAGGCCGUUCGGGUUGUAACCCCUUUCAGCAGGGACGAAGCGAAAGUGACGGUACCUGCAGAAGAAGCGCCGGCUAACUACGCGCCAGCAGCCGC
rnacentral:rRNA from 1 species